rnacentral:rRNA from 1 species
ACCCGCCGAACUUAAGCAUAUCACUAAGCGGAGGAAAAGAAACUAACAAGGAUUGCCUCAGUAACGGCGAGUGAAGCGGCAAGAGCUCAAACUGGUAAUCCCCGUGCUUCGCGCGGUGGAAUUGUAAUCUACAGUGGGUUCGCUCACCGGGUGGUGGCGCAGAAGUGCCUUAGAACGGGCCGCCAGAGAGGGUGACAGCCCCGUAUGCAGCGCCAUCGCCUAACGAGCGGGUCUUCGAAGAGUCGGGUUGUUUUGUAUUGCAGCCCUAAGUGGGAGAUAAACUUCUUCUAAGGCUAAAUACCUAUGGGAAACCGAUAGCGAACAAGUACUGUGAAGGAAAGAUGAAAAGCACUUUGAAAAGAGAGUCAAAAGACUUGAAACUGUUGAGGAGGAACCGAUAGAAAUUUAUCGUUCGGCGGUGAGCGGUGCCUCCUGUCUAUCUAUUGAGCUUUGUCAGCACUUCAACGGCUGCUGGGCUUACAUGGGGAAGCAGGUGGCUUGUUCUACGUCGUCAGGCAAAAUGGGUUUGCGCUCCCGCAAGGCUGCAGAGGUCUGGCUCGCUUCGGCGGGCAGCCUAGGUGUGCUGGCGGGCGCGCAGACUGAGGGUGCCUAGUGCGAUUUUGCCAAAAUAGUUUCUAUCGACCCGUCUUGAAACACGGACCAAGGAGUCUAACAUAUAUGCGAGUGUGAUGGUGGAGAAACCAACACGCGUAAUGAAGGUAAUUGGUGCCAAGCGCAAGCAGCAGCAUCGACCGACUAUGAUUCUCUGAUGAAAGGUUUGAGUAAGAGCAUAUCUGUUAGGACCCGAAAGAUGGUGAACUAUGCCUGAGUAGGGUGAAGCCAGGGGAAACUCUGGUGGAAGCUCGUAGCGGUACUGACGUGCAAAUCGUUCGUCGAACUUGGGUAUAGGGGCGAAAGACUAAUCGAACCAUCUAGUAGCUGGUUCCCUCCGAAGUUUCCCUCAGGAUAGCUGGGACAAGAACGCAGUUUUAUUAGGUAAAGCGAAUGAUUAGAGGCCUCGGGGGUAAAAUACCCUCGACCUAUUCUCAAACUUUAAAUUGGUAAGAACCUUGGCCUUUCUUAAGUGAGGCACAGGGGCUCAAUGCGUGUCCUUAGUGGGCCAUUUUUGGUAAGCAGAACUGGCGAUGAGGGAUGCACCUAACGUCGAGUUAAGGUGCCCAACUGCACGCUCAUCAGAUACCACAAAGGGUGUUGGUUCAUCCAGACAGCAGGACGGUGGCCAUGAAGUCGAUCCGCUACC